AUUGAAACACCGGUUCCCGGACGAUCACUGAAGUUAAGCAACAUGGAGCCUGAUCAGUGCAUAGAUGAGUAACCGCUUGAGAAUACCAGUUGCCGUA